GGGAUGAACGCUGGCGGCGUGCUUAACACAUGCAAGUCGAACGGACAUUCCACUUUUCGGAGAGGGAUGUUAGUGGCAAACGGGUGCGUAACACGUAGGAAUCUGCCCUGAAGUGGGGGACAACGGCUGGAAACGGCCGCUAAACCCGCAUAGUCUCGCGCAAGUGAGUAAAGCUUUAUGCGCUUUAGGAGGAGCCUGCGGCCUAUCAGGUAGUUGGUGGGGUAAAAGCCUACCAAGCCGACGACGGGUAGGGGGCGUGAGAGCGUGGCCCCCCACAUGGGAACUGAGACACGGUCCCAACGCCUACGGGCGGCAGCAGUGAGGAAUAUGCACAAUGGGGGAAACCCUGAUGCAGCGACGUCGCGUGCGGGAAGAAGGCUUUCGGGUCGUAAACCGCUUUUCGUGGAGGACGAGAGGAGGACGGUACUCCGAGGAAUAAACGUCCCGGACUAACUACGUGCCAGCCAGGCCGC
rnacentral:rRNA from 1 species